rnacentral:rRNA from 1 species
UACAGAGGUCUCAAGCGUUGUUCGGAUUCAUUGGGCGUAAAGGGUGCGUAGGCGGCUCGUGAAGUCGGGUGUGAAAGCCCGGGGCUCAACCCCGGAACGGCAUCCGAUACUGGCGGGCUUGAGACCGGGAGAGGAGGGUGGAAUACCCAGUGUAGAGGUGAAAUUCGUAGAUAUUGGGUGGAACACCGGUGGCGAAAGCGGCUCUCUGGCCCGGAUCUGACGCUGAGGCGCGAAAGCGUGGGGAGCAAACAGGG